CAGUAGGGAGAGCAUUUUUAAAACUACCCCUAUUUUAGUGCAAAAAGACGAUUCUGCCCUCAUUUGUUUUAACCUAAAAAAUCUCUUCUUCACCAAUCUCUCUCUCGACGGCGAAAACCCGACUCAUCUCUCUCUCUCGACGGCGACGGCGAUCCAUUGAUGUUGAUUUAUGAGAAUCCUAGUUUACAGUUCACCCCGUCGCCGACUAUCUCUACGUUCCUUCAAGCCCCUGAAUUUAUUGUUCUCCGUCGUGAUUCAUUGUUCUUGGUCGUGGUGUGCUGAGAUUUGGUGUGCUAUGGCGAGAUGAAAUGUGCUCUGCUCAGUUCGACGUGGUCUGGUAACUCACUUUCAACAUCUCGUCAAGCAUAGCACACGUAUUCGCUUCACUCUAUCAAAUCACGGCCUAGAUUCUCCUACAACAGUGAGAUGCUGGAAUUGGUACUUUUAUAUACUUUUAGUUUGGAUAUAAUCUAGAUUUGAUUGUUAUAGACAAGUAAGGUUUAGUGAAGGUAUCAUAUUUAAGAGAUCGACUUCAGUAUGCCAACAUAUCUAAUACAGUCUGCAUUUGUUAGUUUGCUGCAUAUUUCUAUGAUUUUACAGAAUGAUGUUUGUUAGUGAAGAUGUUUUGCAUCUGCACUCGAAAUCAAAUGGAAAAGAUAAGGCAUGUUUUUAGUAAUAGCUGUAGGAUAUGAUAUUAUUAAGGUGGUGGAGUUGAAUGUGUGUGAUUUCCAAUAUGAUUAGUUCAUAGCAAACAAUUUGUGAAUUUGCAAGCAAACGAAAGGUUGUCGUCUUCAGAUAGGAAGAACCAUCUCAGUCCGAGAUAUUCAUAGCAAGGGUACGAAUCUCCAGCUGCAAGACACUAACAAGAUAUAUUCAUGGUUUGUGUUGCAGGAUUACUGUUGGAUAUUAGAAUUUUGAAUUAUUCAAGAAGCUUUGAGCUCUGUUUUUAGUAUUCUACCAAGAGGAGUGGAGACAUGUGAGAGCCAGCCUUGAGUACACUGGUGGAGAAGUAAGAAGUGCUGGUAGAAAGCGGUAUAUCUAACGAUAGUUUCAGACUAAGAAACAAACUCAUGUGAUAAGAAAAUUGGUGCUUAAGUUGAAAUAUGCUUCUUUGUUUGUCAUCUAGUGAUUAUGUGGUUAGUAACUUGCCUUUUACUUGUAUUUCAAGUACAAUGUGUGUGUGACCUUUUUUUUUUAGUUUGUUAAAGGGCUUAUGAUUAAAGUGUGUAUGGAUUUGUAACAUUUUUAUAAGAAGAAACUAAGGAUAUAUAACAUCUUUUUAGAACC